CAGCCGCCGCGGGAAUACGUAGGGUGUAAGCGUUAUCCGGAAUUAUUGGGCGUAAAGAGCUCGUAGGCGGUUUGUCGCGUCUGCUGUGAAAACUGGAGGCUCAACCUCCAGCCUGCAGUGGGUACGGGCAGACUAGAGUGCGGUAGGGGAGAUUGGAAUUCCUGGUGUAGCGGUGGAAUGCGCAGAUAUCAGGAGGAACACCGAUGGCGAAGGCAGAUCUCUGGGCCGUAACUGACGCUGAGGAGCGAAAGCAUGGGGAGCGAACAGGAUUAGAUACCCCAGUAGUCCCUGUCUCUUAUAC
rnacentral:rRNA from 1 species